CACGUAGGGCGCAAGCGUUGUCCGGAAUUAUUGGGCGUAAAGAGCUCGUAGGCGGUCUGUUGCGUCCGCUGUGAAAACUCGGGGCUUAACCCCGAGCCUGCAGUGGAUACGGGCAGACUAGAGGUAGGUAGGGGAGAAUGGAAUUCCCGGUGUAGCGGUGAAAUGCGUAGAUAUCGUAAGGAAGACCAGUGGCGAAGGCGGGUCUCUGGACAGUUCCUGACGCUGAGGCACGAAGGCCAGGGGAGCAAACGGG
rnacentral:rRNA from 1 species